UGCCCCUACCCUUCAACAAAAUAAGGUGCAUGAAAGAGCACUGGAAGCCGUAGAGUGCUCUCUUCCCUCUCCUCUCCCUCCUCCCUCCCUUCUAUCUUCCUUCCUCCCCCCCUCCCUCCUUCCACAAGUAAAUAAAUAAAGACUCCAGUUAGGUGCUCUGCCUGGCCCUGCAGCUCCAGAGGUGAAUAAGUCCUGAAGCGUCCUCCUGGAAUUCACAGUCUAGUUGGAGAGGCAGACGAGUAACGAGAACCACAAGAGGGCGACAGUGCUCCAUCUUCUGUGAAGAAACUGCCAGACCCUCCAGAGAAGGAGCCCAGAAAGCCCUCUUCUCUUGACCUCUGGACUUGUAGGUUCAUUGCCUGGAAGGCUUUUAAAGGGUCACUAAGCUGGUAUGAUAUGAGGAGUCACUGGAGAACAUCUUGGUUACCACAGAGGGAGAGCCUGCCUGAGAGUGAUGUGAUGUCAACCCAGAGGAAAGCAGAACUGAGACAGAAGCAGACACCUGAUGACAUCAUGUGAACCCCUGGAUCCAGCCCUUCCUGAAGCAAGAGUGGACCACUUUAGUUGUUAGGCUGCCCUGGUGAUGCCCACAGCUGCUGGUGAAUGCCAGGCCCCAGGGUUACAACAGGAAAUGUGGAGAGUUGUCAGCCUGAUGGAGUGGCCCUUCCAACUCCAGAAACAGUAAAAGAUCUUGUUUUGGGGCACUUACUUCACUGUCACUCACAUGAUCCAGGCCAGGCCAAGAACUUCCACCCCUUGGUCUCAAUGAAGGUUCAGAAUGUAUAGAGCACUUGCCAUGUGCCGAAUGCUGUGCUGGAACUGAGUGAAGAGAGGUAAACAAGCAGGCACAGCUCCUGUGUCCAUGGAGCUCCCAUUCCAGUGGGAGAGACAGACUUUAAUGAAGCAUCUGACAUAAAACCAUGUCUCUCAGGUCAAAUAUGUCUGGGCUGGAAGUAGAGCAGAAUUUGUGUCUCAAUAGAAACCAUCUUUGUGUGAAGAUGCAGGAAGCUUAGAAGAAUUAGAGACAGAAAGGGCCAUCUAUCACUUCAUUGUCUCCAAAGGUGAUUCAGGCAUGUACUAGUGGCAGAAGGGGCAGGGCAUGCUGACAGAAUGGAUGUAGAGUGAGGACAAGAGGAAUUGGGCAUGACUCCUGAGGUUUUAGGCCAAUCAAGUGGCUGGUGCCUUUCACUGACAGUGGGGAUGGCUGCCUACAUGUGUUCAGUGUGGAAUGCCAGAGGGAAGUCUGGACUUCAGGGGAGGCAUCAGGGCUAGGAGUAUGGACUUGGGAGCCAACAACCUAAAGAUGGGAUUCAAAGCCCAGUGACGGGCUCAGAUAGUCAUCUGGGGAGAGAGUGGAUGGGGAAAUGGUCUUGCUUUAUGAUGGUUUGUUAAGCUCCACAGAUGUUUUGUAUACUUUUCUACAUGCCUGUUGUAUUACAUGAUAGAGGAGAAAGCUGACAAUAGAACCCUGGGGCUCUCAGCGUAUGGAGACAGGCAGGGAACGAGCCAGAAAAGAAGCCAAGGAGGAGCAGGCAGGGAGGCAGGAGGAAAACCAGAACCUUGUGAAGCCAGGAGGCAUGAGCAGGGCAAAGAGGCAGGGAGAGGUCACCUGUGUCAAAAGUGAGAGACCAGGUAAGAGGACAAGGCUGAGCUUGAUCUGCACGAGGCUGAGCUUGAUCUGGCAGCAUGGGGCUGAAGGGAGAGCUUGCAGGCUGAAGUCUGGUGAAACAGGACAGCUUGGUAGCAGCCGGGUUUCAGUGCAUAAGGCAGGAAAAAAUCAUUGUGAGGAGGUACAUAAGCACUGUACCCCACAUGUCACUCUGCUGUAGCUGAGAACAGCUUUCUUCAAAGUAACUGGUGGUGAACUUAACCCAGGAGAAGAUGAAAUUGUAGGAAUAAAAUGUUGACCGAGAUGCUCGUCAUCAAGAUCAAGUCCCGCCAGACUGGGUCAUUGCUGAUUGCAUUGGUAACUGGGAGAGGCCAAAUUCUGAACCUCAGUAUCCAUUUUUUUCCUGUACAUAUUACAAAGUCUAAGGAACAUGAGUUGUUUUUGGUUCAACUUCAAGAGAAAGCCUUGUUUAUAGUCCCUAAAAAUUAACAAGCUGGUAGUUAGUUACGCCAUUGUUUCAUUUCUUGUCUCCAACUUCAGGUUCAAUUUUAUAUACAACUGAAUUCUGUGCAAUGGAGAAGUGAGCACACAGCCAUACACAGUGUAGAAUAAACAUGGUAGAAAAGUCUUUCUGGGAUUUAUCUCUUUCCCACUCCCUAAAGUGCUACCCACUUUCUGCUUGAAGAAUAGUAGAGUUAACCUGGAGAACCAUAUUAUAUAUGGUCAUAUAUAAGUAUAUGGCAUAAAUACAUAAUACGUAGUUUACUACUGUUCCUACUCAUUUUUGUACAUUAAAGAAAGUGGACUUCUAUUUGUAUUUUAAAUUUCACGUUAAACUUUUAAAAGUAUAUAUAUUACUGGGAUGAGCUAAAGAGGAUUGGGAUGAGCUGAAGAGGGAGGUUGAGAGGAUGGGAAAGAGAUUUUUGAGAAAAUUUUGCUCUGAAGAAGAGCAGAGAAAUGAGAGAGUAGCUGGUGGAGAAGAUUGUCAAGGGCAUGUUUAAAAGAUUUAUUUGAGAAAGAGUAAAAGGCAGAGGGAUAGAGGGAAAGAGAAUCUUAAGCAGACUACACUGAAUGCAGAGCCCAGCAUGGGGCUCAAUUGCAUGACCCUGAGAUCCUGACAUGAGCUGAAAUCAAGGGUUGGAAGCUUAACCAACUGAGCCAAGGGCUCAGGUGCCUGAAGGGCAAUUUUUUUCUUUAAUGGAAACUACCAGACCUCUUUUGUGUGCUCAUGGGAAUGAUUCUGUGAAGGAGAAAGUGAAGCUGGGGAAAGGAACAAAUGAUUGGAGCAAUGUCCCCAAACAGGCAGGAAGGUACAGGAGAGAGCUCCUUCAGCCCUGGCCACAGGAAGGCAAGCAGCAAGGUAGGGGUGUUGGAGUUUAAGAAGGAAAGGUGUGGAUGCCAGGUCUGUGGACCACUGAGCCCAUGCUUUUCCAACUAAAGAAGCCUGGACCCAGAGAGACAGGCCUCCAUUGGACUCUGGCUGGUCCCAGAUGUGACCUCAGUUUCCUUCUGCAAUGUGAGGUGCUCCUCAGCCCUAUCUCAUAGGCCAGGGGGAAGGUUAUGGCAGAUCUGUGGACUAACAAUGUACUUGGCACUGUGUUUGACACAGAGUAGGCUUUCAGGAGCCUGGAAAAGGACAAUCCUUUGGGCCACCCUGCUAGGCACAUGUCUUACUACUAGGACAGGGAGUUGGGUGCUGGCCUGUAUUGUUUGGAAAGAGUACAUUAACUGCAAAAGCCAAUUGCCUUGUGCUGCUUCCCACUGAGAUUCUAGAUAAAGCCACCUGCAGCCAUUCCUCCCUGUGUGAUGUGGGGUGCGCACAGAUCCCAUGCUGAGGCACCCCUCAGGGUCCUGGGCCCAACCUCCCCUAUCAUGACCACUUAUCAGCUCAGUGAUCUUGGGCAAGUCCCUGUCUCUUUAGGCCUCAAUUUCCUCACUUGAAGCGUGGAGUGGUGCAGUUGACCUCCGAGCCCUGCAUUUGGACCCAUAAGUUCAAGUCUUUGUCAAGACGCUAUUCAUAAUGCUAAUAAAUAACAAACACCAACUCUAGCACCACCAACUGCUAGGUAACCUUGGCCAAAUCAUUCAUCCAUGCCCAGUAUGCAAGUGGGGAUGGUGCUAUUUCCUGCCUCAUAGUAUUCUGGUGAGGACUGGGAAACAUCACCCAGGUAAAGCUCCUGGCAUUUAGUGCCUGGCACACAGUAGGUAACUAAAUUAAUCAAGAGGCUCAAGGCUUUCAAGAAGGGUAAAUGACUCCCCUACAAGGCCUAUACAGAGCUGCUGUUUUUGUUGCAUGGCAUCCCACCCCUCUUCUUGUCCCAGCACCCAGCUUUUCUUCUGAGAGAACUGCUCCACUCCCACCUCCCAAUUCCACUGAUUACUUGAGGAGGAGGCCUUAACUUGGCCACUCUGUCCCAUCCUCCUGGCUACAGAGAGCAAUGAGGUUAAACCUUGAACUUUAGCUAGACCUUGUAGGAAAGCAACUGGCCUGCUGGAUUUGUUAAUCUGGUGGGAUGUGGGACUUGGAAAUGGAGCUGCUGGUGGCCUCCCCCUGCCCCCAGAAGGGAGUACAGCUGAGGAUGGUGCUAAUAAAGAUGUCAGGGCAAGAAAUAAAGGCAGGCUAAUAUUUUAGGUGCUGUUCAAUGAGCCCCUGCAUCAAGCCAGGCUUACAGGCAAGUGUUCCCCUGAAUUUUCAGUCACAUGAGACAUUGAUUUUUUUUUUUCCUUGCUUACGAUUGAACCGGUUUUUGCCACUUAAACCAAAGAUUUCUGACAACAUAGCCUGUAACGCCAUGGCCUUGGACUGGGUGUUGCUUAUUUGGUCUGACCAGCCUUCCACCACUGGGCAGAUGAAGGACCAAGGGGCUAUGACAGUGACCACUACGGAGUUCUCUAUAAGAGGGACAGAACUGCCUGAGGACAUGGGGCCUGAACUCCAGAGCUCUAGCAAAGAGCUUAGAGGAGCCAGGGAGAGGAGGGGGAAAUCUGGCCAAACCUUCCUUUCCUGGGUCCAGGAACUACUAAAUUGAACAGAAAGUCAUUUGCCUGGGUUUAGCCCCUUCUCUUUGGCCAAGAGGAGCAUCUAGAGAAAAAUUAUAGGUUCUCAAAAUGGACCUCUCCAGGAUUCAGCAAGCCCAUCCUGGUCUUUGCCCCAAAGAAUCAAUGGUAAACUUCAGCAGCCACAGUAAAGCCCUGUGGGAGAAGGUACAGUGCAGUGUAGUUUGCUUGGGAAGGAUGGGGGGAACUGGUGGUGCCCUAGUCUGUCCAUCCAGGAGCUGCUAGGGAACAAGGAACCAGAGAGAUACACAACAGCACAGAAAAAUCUAAAAGUGGGGCAAGUGAAAAAAAACCCCAAAACAGUGAGUCUUAGCACAGUCCCAUCUAUCUAUGCAUGUAAAACCUACAUAUUUUUCAACACCAGAGUGGUGCCUAUCUGGGCAGGGGAAGGUGUGAUUGGGUAGAGUAGGGGCUGGGGAUGAAGUAGAAAAGUCAAAAAAGAGAAGGGGCUUUCAUGGUCUAGGGAUGACACCAUGCUUUGAACUGACAUGUCUGAAGAACUCAGCACCAACAGGGAGGAGUCAGGCACCAGUGCAAAGGGGACUAUUGUGAUCACAACCCUGGCUAUACCCCUGGAUCACCUAAGGAGCCUUAGGGAUCUAGAUUCCUGGGGGCCACUCCCUGAAGCUCUGACUGGAUUGGUCUGGGUGCAGCCAUAACUGAGAUCCACUGAACUAACAAUAGACAGAUGUACCUGGGUUCAAAUCCUGGCUCUGCCACUCAUAAGCAUAGUGGUUUUAAAAUUCUUUAUCUAAAAGGGGUUAAAUCCCCAUCUUGAGAAAAUGAGAAGGUCACGAGAGAAGCACACCAGAUACCAAGAUCUGUAGCUUGACCUCCUUGCAGGAGGAGGCUUGGCUAGGAACAUAAUUCCAUCAAGUGAAAGAAAUAGGUGAAGUGUAUGAACCUUUUUAUUUCUGAGACUUAAAUUUAGCUCAAGUUCCAGGGCAAAUAGAGGGUCCCCCUGUCCCACAAGACAGGAAGGAUGCUUCCCAGAUGAGGGGUGCCAGAUAAAAUCUGGGAUGCCCAAUGACAUUCGAAUUUCAGGAAAACAAAUGCUUUUAUACAUCUGUCCCAAAUAUUGCACGGGACAUACUUAUACUAAAAAGUUAUUUUUCUUAAAUUCACAUGUAAUGAGGUAUCCUGUAUUUUUAUUUGCUCAAUUUGACCACCUUAGAUGACACUUGAGCUUGUUGGGUUUCAGUCUUUAUUUAGUAGGGUCUGAGAGAGGUGAGGGAGGGGUGAAGGAAGUUUUCUAUUCUGGAGCUUCACAGCUGACAAUCUAAAGGAACUACAUCACCUCCUUGUUCCUUGGAGGAAAAGGAGAUCAGAGGGCUCUGGAUUACACAAACACUGGUUGCCUUGUAUUUAUCCACUUGGCACCUUAGACACCACCAUUGGAAAGCCCAAUUCUAAGAAUUGGAAGAGGGAGAUCCAUUUAUGAUGGGGUUUCUGUGGUUCUCAUGUUGCCUCACUUCAUGCUAGCAACUAGGGUACCUGUUGCCUGAACUCAAGCCAUAAAAAAUCAUGGAAGCUUAUUUUCAUUAUAACUUUUUUUUUUCUGAUCAUGAGUUGUUGGCAACUUUGGUGGUGGUGGUGGUGGUAGGAAUUACCCAUAAUCCCUUUACCCAGAUGUCACCAAUGGCAAUUUAUUCUUCCCCUGGGAAGGAAACAUUAUGCUUUGAUCACAUGCCAGAAACUUCCUCCAUUAUCUCCGAGAACCUUCAGAAAGAAAAAUAACUUUAUUGCCCUUUCUGAAUAUAAGAGCACUAUAAGCUCUUCAGACAGAUUUUCUUAAAAGUAACUCCUAGAGGUAUGAAAUGAAAUUCACCUAGAAUCCUAUCACUCAAAUGGAAUUCUUUGAAUCUCACUUAUAAACUUGGUUCUGUAGCAGAGGUGCUUUCUGUCAACCAGCACAUCUCAGGCACUACCUAAAGAUGAGGAAACUGAGGAUCACAUCUACCACAUUACACCAGUGUUCCAGGGGGGCUCAGUAAAAGUUUGCUAAGUGAACAAAUGAAUGAGGGAAGAAUCCACGACUCCUCACAGGCUUAUUCAGAUUCAUUAAGUCAUCAAAGGCUGCUUCCACUUUGUAUUUUCAAAAAACCCUAACCCACUUGUGCAGAUUAUGGGAUGGAUAUGAUUUCUUGGACAUGAGGGAGCAGGUGAAAGAGUAGUGAUUGUUUCCCUGCUCUGUAGGAAUAAAGAACUCCAAAGAAGAGUGACAGGAGAUCUAGGAGGCUUUAGAAACCUGCAUGCAAAACCUACGGAAAAGAGUGUGGGGGAACAUGGUUAAAAUGGCCAAGUAAGGCCCACCAUGCAAGAUUCCAUCUUAAUUAGACCCGUCAUUGAUAAACUUUGAGAAGGUUCCAGCUACCGCCAGUGCCCAAGACUAUCACAACACAGUCACCAUAUUGUGAUUUUCCCUCCCAUUUACCCAUAGAAAAUGAAGGCAUUUUUUAUAAGCAAGGUUGGCUUUUCUAGAACAUGCACCUUUCAGGAUUCACUUCUAAGGGAAUUUUGUCCCAAAGGACCUGGAGAAUCUUGGGAUGGUCUCAAAGUUGCUGGCUGCUGGCCUCAAACCCAGGGGGCUUAGUAUUGAGGUGGGGGCUUCAUCAUUCCCACUUGUCCUCCUCCAUUCCAAGGGCAGUUCCUGGGAGGCUCUGGCAGCCUGGGAGAUGGCAGGGUGGAUAAUUACUGUACGAGUCUCUGCCGCUCAUUCACAACAGCAGCUGAGUACAAUUUUCAUGGCAAGUGCUUAUAAAUCGCAGGCAACCUCUGGCACACAAUGGUCUGUGGUCGUGGCAGGAGAAUAGCCACCCAGGGAAGGAGAGGCCGCUGCAGGGACCACUCCUCCCACACUAGCCGUGGGGUUCAUUGUGCCAUGGGCACACAUUGCUGGGCUUCCAUGAAUACUGAGACUAAUGGGAGUGAGGACAGAAAAAGGAAGAGAUCUUCAAUAAAUGGUGCUGGGAAAAUUGGACAUCCACAUGCAGAAGAAUGAAACUAGACCACUCUCUUUCACCAUACACAAAGAUAAACUCAAAAUGGAUGAAAGAUC